rnacentral:lncRNA from 1 species
CAUUUCUCCCAUCUCGCUCAUCUCUCUAACCCUAGCCGCCCCAAAUUCCUCUACCGGCGGGCACCACCUCAAUCACUCCCAAAUUAACACCCUAUAAUCUCCAACCUUCCUUCAUCCCUAAUCUACCAUUAAUUCUCCCAAAACCCCCCACCAAACCUUUCGAAUUUCAAAUCCAAAAAACCCUAGAAAUCCUAGGCCCCCAUUUUUGAUUCUUCAAGACUUCAAGACUCGAUUCAAGCUGAAAUUAACAUCAAUCGAUUGAUGUUAAUUUCGGUUCGUGUCGAAUACAUUGGAGUCCAGCCAACUUGUUCUCGACCAGUCAGAGUUCCAAAUUUUUCACACUCUUCAGGGUAAUCAUUUUCUUUCUCGUUUAGUUUAAUUAACUGUUAGUCUUGCACUUAAUAGUAUUUGUUAUUCUGAAUGUUCAUUGUUUAAGUUAUUAGUUAAUUGCAUAAUCAUUUAGUUCAAUUAUAUGUUAAUUAAUUUAAUUGCAUAAGUUUAAUCAAUUAAUUAUUAAAUUAUUUGGUUUUUGCAUUAGUGUUUUUGUUCAGGUCUGUUUGUUUCUUUUGGUGUGGCUAUUUAUAAUAAUUGGAACUUUAUGAGGUUAAAAGAAAAAGGAAAAAAGAAUAGAAUAGAAGAUUUGAAAAUACAAUAAAAUGAGGAAAUCAGGUUAAGAUUGGGGUUAAGGGGGUAAUUUCAGAAGUUUAAGGGGUUAGAAGAAAAGGAAGGAAUCUCUGGAACUGGACAGCUGUUCAUUUUUGUUGUGAAAAGAUGUUUUUUAGGAAACUGGCAGAAUACUCUCACACCCUCUCUCACUCUCUCAUAGGGCACAGAUAUUUCCUAUAUAAGGGAUCUCACAUUCAUUCACACCCCCCCCCCCCACACACACUCAUUCUCUGCAGAAAAUUCACACUCCUUUCUUGAUUAACACUGAUUUUUCUUGGAGAAAAACACUCUGAAAACUCGAUUUACAUACAAAGAAAACAAAAAAAAGGAGAAAAAGCUGUUUUGAACUUUGAGCAUACUUGGUUGAUAUUUUCCUGGGGUUUCAAAGGAUUUUCAAGCUUCAGAGCUGUUGUUUGCUGACUUGAUUCUGCUGAUUUCCCUGCUGUAGCUGAAUUUAGGAAUUCUAGACCUCAUUUGGUUAACUGCUGCGUAGUUCCUACUUUUAGGUAUGUUAAUCUUCACUUGUGAUUAUCUUUGAGCUUAUAGAUGAAUAUUUGAAUGUUUGAUUCCAUGGUUAUACUCAAUUUCAUGCAUUUAUUUUGUGUUAAAUUGCCAUAUCUGCUUAUCUUUGUUCCUCUUUUAAUGGAUAUUUUUGUUCAUCUGUUUCUCUAGUAAAAUUAUGUAUAAAAUUACUUAUGAACUAGUCUACUUGCUAUUGAUAAUCAUCCAUCUUGAUGAAAUCUGUUAGUUUUUCGAUAUUUCAAAAAUAUAUAAAAAUGAUGAAGUUGAUCGAAAUUUAAUGCCUACUAAGGUUAAUCUAAGUGUUGUUUUCAAUUAGAAUGUUAGAUGUGUUAUUUGAUCAUUUCAAGUCUAAACAACACAUUUUCAAAGGUUCGAAAUUGAUUCCUAUAAACAGACUAAGGAACAGAAGGCUACCAUAGUAUUAUGCGCAUGUAAGUAAUUCUGUGUUAAUUUGGAGAAUGUAAAGAGUUGUUGCUACUGAUCACAUGGCUGUAGUUUGCAGAUCUGACCACUAAUUGGUCAGAUUAGUAAACUCUAAAGCUCAAGGAGGAUCUUGAAGGUAAUGGGGAUGAUUCUUUUUAUAUAUGGUAGUACAGAGGCUUAGUUAUAAUUCGGAGUUGAUUUGAAAGAUUAGUUGCUAGGGUAGGGUAAUGAUUUUCAUGUAAAAUAUCUUAAUAUGCACAAAAGGAGUUUAUUGAUCACCGUAAUAGUCUAAGAAUUAGUCAUGUCAUGUAACAAAUGUAUGAGUCUUCUCUAUGAUGUUAGAAUCAUUGUUUAUUACGAUUAAGCAUGGUUCUAGGUUGGAUUUGUAGUGACAAUUAUAUUUAUGUAUUUGGACUUGACUAUUUUGAAUUGGCC